rnacentral:rRNA from 1 species
GACGAACGCUGGCGGCGUGCUUAACACAUGCAAGUCGAGCGGAGCGGCGAACGGGUGAGUAACGCGUGAGUAACUGCCCCCCUCUCUGGGAUAACAGUUGGAAACGGCUGCUAAUACCGGAUAGUGGGGGAUGACUCUGGUCCUACCAGCUUGUGGGUGGGGUAGUGGACUACCAAGGCGACGACUGGUAGGCGGCCUGCGAGGGCGACCGUCCACAGUGGGCUGAGAUACGGCCCCAACUCCGACGGGAGGCAGCAGUGGGGAAGAUUGGACAAUGGGGGAAACCCUGAUGCAGCAACGCCGCGUGCGGGAUGACGGCCUUCGGGUUGUAAACCGCUGUCAGCCAUGACGCGGUAGUGGCAGAAGAAGCACCGGCUAACUACGUGCCAGCAGCCGCGGUAAUAC